AAAAGCAGCCCUUGUGACAUCUGUCACCCCAUUGAUCGCCAGGGUUGAUUCGGCUAAUCUGGCUGGCUAGGCGGGUGUCCCCUUCCUCCCUCACCGCUCCAUGUGCGUCCCUCCCGAAGCUGCGCGCUCGGUCGAAGAGGACGACCAUCCCCGAUAGAGGAGGACCGUUCUUCGGUCAAGGGUAUACGAGUAGCUGCGCUCCCCUGCUAGAACCUCCAAACAAGCUCUCAAAAGCAGCCCUAACCAUUGGCUAAGACAGUAUCCAUGAUGUACGUCCACAAUUUAAUAAAAUUGU
rnacentral:snRNA from 1 species